UUGUCCCUUGCCACGACGAUUGAAAGCGUGGCGAGCUUCACCAGCUCCCCGAGAACCGCCGGCUUCAAUGCGUGGGAUGAUGGGCAGUCAGAGUAGUCCUGUCAAGAGUUACGACUAUCUCCUUAAAUUCCUCUUGGUGGGAGACAGUGACGUCGGGAAGGGAGAAAUCCUGGAAAGUUUACAGGACGGCUCGGUAGAGUCUCCCUAUGCUUACACUAGUGGAAUAGAUUACAAGACAACAACAAUACUACUGGAUGGAAGAAGAG